CCGAGGGGACCGGGACGACUUUGCGAAAGCGGAGCUAAUACCGGAUGGUCUGCCCAUGUUUAAUAUGUGUGUAGUAAAGGAUGGCCUCUGUUUUAAGCCAUUGCCUUUUGAUGAGGCCGCGUCCCAUUAGCUAGUUGGUGGGGUAAGAGCCUACCAGGGCAACGAUGGGUAGCUGGUCUGAGAGGAUGAUCAGCCACACUGGAACUGGAACACGGGCCAGACUCCUACGGGAGGCAGCAGUGGGGAAUAUUGGGCAAUGGGGGCAACCCUGACCCAGCAACGCCGUGUGAGGGAAGAAGGUUUUCGGAUCGUAAACCUCUGUCAGGAGGGAAGAAGUGCAUAGCAAGUAAUAUGUGUUAUGUUUGACGGUACCUCCAAAGGAAGCACCGGCUAACUGCGUGCCAGCAGCCGCGGUAAUACGGAGGGUGCAAGCGUUAUUCGGAAUUACUGGGCGUAAAGCGCGCGUAGGCGGCACGGCAAGUCAGAUGUGAAAGCCCUGGGCUCAACCUGGGAAUUGCAUUUGAGACUGCCGAGCUAGAGUAAGGUAGAGGGUGGCAGGAAUUCCCGGUGUAGGAGUGAAAUCCGUAGAUAUCGGGAGGAACACCAGUGGCGAAGGCGGCCACCUGGGCCUCUACUGACGCUGAG
rnacentral:rRNA from 1 species